UGUAACUAAAAAAAGGAGAAACCAGAUCUGUACAAAAAAAGAAAAAAAGAAAAAGAGAAACCAGAACAGGGCAUCUCAAAGCUACAUGCCCUUCUCCAGUUUCUCAACAAUGGAUCUAUGACAACUAUCAAGGAUAACCCACUAUACAUCCACAAAUAAUUUAAGAAGAAUGAACAUAUAUAAAUAAGAAUGGAUCUAUGGCAUCGAUAGGGCAAAGGCAAGGGCAAGGGCAAAAGCUUCAACCUUUAUAGUUCGUUAUAUGCAGGCAAUUCGAAUUUUUGGGAGCUUUUGAAGAAGGACCCAGCUAAGCUUUCAGCGUACCGGAAGAUCUAACGGUUCGCAAGAGGAAUUCGAGCAAGCACUCCUCACUUCAACAACCGUCUACAUCGGAAACAUGUCUUUUUACACUAUUGAGGAACAAGUUCAUGAGCUUUUCUCUACAUCCGGUAAAAUCAAGAAAAUAAUUAUGGGCCUUAACAAGAACUCUAAAACACCUUGUGGCUUUUCCUUUGUCUUGUAUCAUUCUAGGGAAGAUGCAGAGGAUGUUGUUAAAUACAUUAGUGGGACAAUCCUUGAUCCCCGUCAGAUUCGUGUAGAUUUUGAUUGGGGUUUUUAGAUAUGUUCAUUACUCUUUAAUUAUUUGUGGAUGUAUGGUGGGUUAUCAUUGAUAGUUGCCAUAGAUUCAUUGUUGAGAAAAUUGUGAAAGAUAAGUAGCUUUGAGAUGCUUGGUUUCUUCAUUUUGAAUUACAUAGAGAAGAGAAAAGGGUAAAAAAAGAGUUUUGAAUAAUUAAA